CCUACGGGCCGCACCAGUAGGGAAUCUUCGGCAAUGAACGAAAGUCUGACCGAGCAACGCCGCGUGAGUGAAGAAGGUUUUCGGAUCGUAAAACUCUGUUGGUAGAGAAGAACGUUGGUGAGAGUGGAAAGCUCAUCAAGUGACGGUAACUACCCAGAAAGGGACGGCUAACUACGUGCCAGCAGCCGCGGUAAUACGUAGGUCCCGAGCGUUGUCCGGAUUUAUUGGGCGUAAAGCGAGCGCAGGUGGUUUAUUAAGUCUGGUGUAAAAGGCAGUGGCUCAACCAUUGUAUGCAUUGGAAACUGGUAGACUUGAGUGCAGGAGAGGAGAGUGGAAUUCCAUGUGUAGCGGUGAAAUGCGUAGAUAUAUGGAGGAACACCGGUGGCGAAAGCGGCUCUCUGGCCUGUAACUGACGCUGAGGCGCGAAAGCGUGGGGAUCAAACAGGAUUAGAUACCCUUGUAGUC
rnacentral:rRNA from 1 species